rnacentral:rRNA from 1 species
AAACUUACCAGGUCAAGACAUGGGCGUGAUUGACAGGCUAAUGACUUUUCUCGAUUCCAUGGAUGGUGGUGCAUGGUCGCACUUAGUUGGUGCAGUGAUUUGUCAGGUUUAUUCCGGUAACGAACGAGACCUCGGCCUUGUAAAUAGCUAUGCUGCUUACAGGGACAUUGGCGGCUACGCCAAGGAAGCUCGAGGCAAUUGCAGAUCUGGAAUGCCCUUAGAUGUCCUGGGUCGCACGCGUGCUACAAUGACGCCACGAACGAGCUUGCGUGAUGAAAGUUACGCAUAAUCAGCAGUCGGCGUCUUAAGGGAUAGUCUCUUGUAACUGUGGGACUCCAACUAGGAAUGUCUCGUAAGCACAAGUCAACAUCUUGUGUUGAUUACGUCCCUGCUCUUUGUACACACCGCCCGUCGCUCCUACCGAUCGAGUGUUUAGGUGAAUUUGAUGGACGUAAGGAAGUCAAAUAAACCUGAGCACUAGAGGAUGAGAAGUCGACAUC